rnacentral:rRNA from 1 species
AACUCUGAACAGUGGAUCACUCGGCUCACGGGUCGAUGAAGAACGCAACCAGCUGCCACACCUGGUGUGAAUUGCAGGACACAUUGAGCACUGAUUUUUCUAACGCGCAUUGCGGUCUCGGGUGACACCUGCGACCUCGUCUGUCUGAGGGUCG